rnacentral:rRNA from 1 species
GAUGAACGCUAGCGGCAGGCCUAACACAUGCAAGUCGAGGGGUAGAGGUUGCUUGCAACCUUGAGACCGGCGCACGGGUGCGUAACGCGUAUGCAAUCUGCCUUGUACUGAGGGAUAGCCCAGAGAAAUUUGGAUUAAUACCUCAUAGUAUCUUUUCCCGGCAUCGGGAGAUUAUUAAAUUUCCAAGGGUACAAGAUGAGCAUGCGUCCCAUUAGCUAGUGGGUAUGGUAACGGCAUACCAAGACAAUGAUGGGUAGGGGUCGUGAGAGGGAGAUCCCCCACACUGGUACUGAGACACGGACCAGACUCCUACGGGAGGCAGCAGUGAGGAAUAUUGGUCAAUGGGCGCAAGCCUGAACCAGCCAUGCCGCGUGCAGGAUGAAGCAUCUAUGGUGUGUAAACUGCUUUUAUACGGGAAGAAACACCGGUUCGUGAACCGGCUUGACGGUACCGUAAGAAUAAGGAUCGGCUAACUCCGUGCCAGCCGCCGCCGUAA